CAGCAGCCGCGGGAACACGUAGGGUGCGAGCGUUAAUCGGAAUUACUGGGCGUAAAGCGUGCGCAGGCGGUUGUGUAAGACAGGUGUGAAAUCCCCGGGCUUAACCUGGGAACUGCGCUUGUGACUGCACAGCUAGAGUAUGGCAGAGGGGGGUGGAAUUCCACGUGUAGCAGUGAAAUGCGUAGAGAUGUGGAGGAACACCGAUGGCGAAGGCAGCCCCCUGGGCCAAUACUGACGCUCAUGCACGAAAGCGUGGGGAGCAAACAGGAUUAGAUACCCGCGUAGUCCCUGUCUCUUAUAC
rnacentral:rRNA from 1 species